rnacentral:misc_RNA from 1 species
GAUGAAGAACGUAGUGAAAUGCGAUAAGUAGUGUGAAUUGCAGAAUUCAGUGAAUCAUCGAAUCUUUGAACGCACAUUGCGCCUCCUGGUACUCCGGGAGGCAUGCCUGUUCGAGCGUCAUCAAAAACCUCAACCCAUGAUUUAUUGUGAGUUGGUUCUGCAUUGGACUCCUUGUGGGUCCUUUGCGAAAUCCAAUGGCGAAGAGCCACGCAACCAAAGCGUAGUAUAACUAUUUCGUUAUGGAAGCGUGGGUGCCUCUGCCGUAACCCCCAAUUUCUUAGUUUUUGACCUCGGAUCAGGUAGGGAUACCCGCUGAACUUAAGCAUAUCAAUAAGCGGAGGA